rnacentral:sRNA from 1 species
CUGAGGAGAAGCCAUCACGAACAAGGUUCGUGAUUUUUCAUGGCUUCGACGACAUGUCAUAGAGAGGGACCCACGAAGUGGGAGAGUUGGCUAUGACUUACAAGUU